rnacentral:rRNA from 1 species
UGAGGAAUAUUGGUCAAUGGUCGCAAGACUGAACCAGCCAUGCCGCGUGCAGGAAGACGGUCCUAUGGAUUGUAAACUGCUUUUAUACAGGAAGAAACCCUCCUACGUGUGGGAGCUUGACGGUACUGUAGGAAUAAGGAUCGGCUAACUCCGUGCC